CGUAGGGGGCAAGCGUUGUCCGGAAUCAUUGGGCGUAAAGCGCGUGUAGGCGGUCCGGUAAGUCCGCUGUGAAAGUCGGGGGCUUAACCCUCGGAUGCCGGUGGAUACUGUCGGGCUUGAGUACGGAAGAGGCGAGUGGAAUUCCUGGUGUAGCGGUGAAAUGCGCAGAUAUCAGGAGGAACACCAAUUGCGAAGGCAGCUCGCUGGGACGUUACUGACGCUGAGACGCGAAAGCGUGGGGAGCAAACAGGAUUAGAUACCCUGGUAGUCCACGCUGUAAACGAUGGGCACUAGGUGUGGGGGGUGUCGACUCCCUCCGUGCCGAAGCUAACGCAUUAAGUGCCCCGCCUGGGGAGUACGGCCGCAAGGCUA
rnacentral:rRNA from 1 species